UUAGUAGCCAAAGAAAUUAUCCGAUUUAGACCAUCUCAGUUACCUUGAGAAACUUAGUUGAGCUCUUUGACAAAAUCACAAUUUUGUUUGAGCAAAUCUCAGUACUUAUAUAGUCAUGUUUCAAUUAUGUUGCUUCUUUUUAUUGUCUAAUAGUGUGCCAUAGUAACUGCAUCUAAUAAUUUCUUCUGCAACAAAUGAUUUAGUUACACUUUUGUGCCAUGCCUGCAUAUUUUUAAACAGCAUAUACUGGGAUAAUCUUUAAGCAUAACCACCUUUACCUUCAAUUCAUUAAUGGCGUGUUCUCUUUCAUCUGAUAUCCUGAUGAGUGUACAUCUUCAUCUGAUCUCCCGAUGCUGCUACAUUAGUUUUUUGUUGUGGAUUUAGAUAUCUGGUGUCUCUAAUUAGGAGCUGUUGGAUAUCAUCCAAUAAUCUUGCACAGCGAGAUCGAAGCUAUUUAGUAAACUGAAACUGUCGCUGCAACAAUUCUUCUUGUGAUCAUUGCUCCUUGCCAAUUCAUCGAUCUGAGGUAUGGAAUAUUUCAACAUGGGCCCUGAUGCAUAGUUAUCCUCUGGCACUGCUAUUCCUCUGGCACGCUCCACAACCUCCACUUCUCUCGGUUGAGGGCGCAAUAAUGGAGAUAAAUAGUGACCAUGCUGCAGUUUAUCGACGUCGCCCAGAUCGACUCCAUUGCCUCUCACCAUCUCCAAAAUUUGUGGCCGAGCGCUCGCCAUCACCAGAGCUGCAGGGGUUCCUCGCCGCCUCAACCACCCACACCUUUCUCCAUCGGCGCGACGGCUUCAGAGCCUUCUCCAAAAUCUGUGGCAGAGCGCUCACCGAUGCCAGAGCCACAAUGCUUCCUUGCCGCCUCAAAAUCGGUUUGGUUUUAGUUUCAUUUCACGUCAAAGGUUGUCAUGACAUUUAUUCAUCGUUUGAUAAAUAUGUUGAAGUUGAACAUCUAGAGGAUGAUAACAAGUGUAACGAACCAUCUUUUAUGGUUCGUUAAGAUAAAAGUCCAGAGCAUGGACAUGACACAAGGUGAUGGUGAUGCAGCUACGUCGAUCAUGAUUCAUUUAGGAUUGAAUGAAGUUACUGGUGUGACCUUGUCGAGACUGAAGUAAGGAGGGAUAGAGCUAAAAACUCUCUUGACAAUCUUAGUGCCAACGUCUUCUGUGAAAGGAGGCAGCAUAUCAAUUGGAGGUUCUCUUCAGCUUCUUGGUUUCUGCACCUUUGAGGCUUGUGUUGGCAUAUUGGCCGUCAAUCAUGAAGAUGAGAUCUCAGUACAUUCCUGAGGAAGCGAGAAGCACAAUCAUGAACUUCUUCCGCAUACCACUCAACUUAUUUGUUUGUGUGGUGCUUUACAUCGUGAAUGCAUUCCCUAUCACUGUCAUGUUUGGGAUGUGUUCUAUCUUCCUCUUCAUGGCAGCCAUCUUGCUGCACAUGCAAGGGAGGAACCUGCUUAUAGAUAUGUUUCUUUACUAUCACAAUUAUUUGGUAAAAAGACAUUGUCUCCCACCCAACAUACACAUUCUACAACAUAUACUUGGAUCUGUGGUUGGUACUUAUGUAUUGGUAAAGCUGGCUGAUAUAAAUUCUUUUGUAUUUUACCAUUAUGGUGCCAUGUAGAAACCACUGGAUUAUAGGGAGAAAACUGUUAUUGCUUGCCUCCUUACGGGAUGACUCAUGGUACAACGUCAUUUGAAUACAUAUGGUCGACAAUGAAGUUUAGUAUUGAUUUCUGAAUCAUCAAAGGCUCGUGCAGUUGCCCAGCCUUGGUGCUCAACGUCAGAAAGAACUCACUUCUCGGUAGCGCGCUUGCCGAUUUUUGACGGCCAUAAUGGCAAAGAUGCUGCUCAAUAUGUCUGUGAUAACUUGCCAUGGGUCAUCAUGGAAGAUGAUGAUUUAUCUCUUGAGCUUAAAAAGGGUACUCCAUGUGUGGAAGAGUUCACCCCAAAAAAUUGUGAAAUGUUAUGCAACAAUACGAAGCUUGAUCUUGCUACUGUCGAGACCGAUGUUGAUGAGAAAGUCGAAGAUAAGGUAUGUUCUUAUGUGGAUCAACUUCUUGCAGCUAUGCGAGCCAAAGAUUCUACCAUGCACGUAUGUCGCCGCCGCGAGGGUCAUGUGCUAGCAGAUAUAAAUCUAUACAAAAGGUUUAACUCCCUAAUGCUAGCUUUGUUUGAGCGAUAUCCCCCUAAUGACGUAGUAUAUGCUAUUUGGUUGUUAUAUUUGAUUUUUGAACACACUGGUUUGGUGUAUUGCAACGGUUUCACAAGAUGUAGACAACGAUGUCACUUGCUUCCUUUCUCAUUACCACCAGAACAACCAUGUAAAUUCAGUUUGAUUUUUUUCAAACAUCCUGUGCAAAGGAACAAUAUAAAGCAAUAACCUUUGUGUUCUCAGGUUGAUGGGAGCAAAGUUUGUGAAUUAAAACAGUGGCCCAUCCUCUCCUUUGCAAGCUAUCUAAUUUAUAGUUAGAAUUUUGUUUGUUGGAGAGACCCAAGUGGUGUGCUUUACCCUUAGGUUCUUCCUCUUAUUUUGCCAAUUCUACUGAAGGAGUAUUCUCCUACACAAAUGUUUUACUAUUUGUAGUACUUAUUGAUCAUUGACAUUUUUUGUUGUUGUGCCAGGUAAUGCUAUAUGUGGAUAUGAAAGUCAAUGGUGUACAUUUGAAGGGAUACAAAAAUAAUUUCAUGUAUUAUCCAACAUCUUGCUCUUGCAUAUAACUACACCUUUACAUAUUGUCCGUGCGGCAAACAAAUAUAUUUUGUUGUUCAUAACCUUUUCCUCUCUAGCUCCUAGCCUAUAAUAGUUUUCUUACAGGUGUACUUUUGGAGUCUUCCAAGUUGUGCUGGGAACUAGGCAUACAGGAAAAGGAAGGAGCCUGAUGUAGAGAAGCAAAAGGAACCAAUUCUAGAGCAUGUCACAGUGUUACUUGCCAGUCAUUAUCACCUAAAAUUUACAACUCGCGAUGUGUUUCUUCCCUUUGAUUUAUUUGUAAGCAGGAAGCAUCUUUGUUGAAUACAACAAAUCAAGCUUGUGGGCUUUAUAAUGAAGCUGAGGUUUAGGAAAAGAUACAAUUUCUUAUUUGAUGAAGACUUUCCUGCUGAAAAAUAAAGACUCCAAAAAAUGAUUAAGAAAUCUAAGGACCAAGAUGCCAUUGGAGAAAUGAAGAGUCGUGUCACAUGGAUUGAUAAGCAGUUGAAGUCUCAUCCUCCAAAGAACGUUGAAUCGGAAAUCUUGCGUGAGCAUAUCAAGAAAGAGAGGGAGGCAGCAAAGGC